CUUGCUGUUCUUGAUCUUGGAUUUGAGACUCUGCAACAUGGGAGAGGGAGCAGAGGAAGACGAGGCACGGGAUGUAGAAGAAGAAGUGAAUAUGAGGAGGUGAUGAGGUUAGUCUCGGCAUAAUUGGAGGUGGUUCAGAGUCCUUUUUCUGGUUAGAGAGACUCUCCGGUGUUGGAGCUAGAUAUCUAUGAGCUCAAAACAUGAAGCAAAACGUGUUGGUUUGCUUGUG
rnacentral:lncRNA from 1 species